rnacentral:lncRNA from 10 species
GGUGAUUAGGAAAGGCUUCCCAGCUGAGAUGGAAUCUUCAGUUGGAGUUUGUCUUUUCUUCAUUUCCAGUCCUUUGUCCUUGUCUUCUGUCCACUCCUUUCUUUGCUGAAUAUUUCCUCAGAUUUCAAGUCCCAUCUCACAUUUCUUGUUGUGUUAGACAUCAUGACUGAUUUUUCCUUGGCCUCUACUUCCCAGUUUAAUGAAGAUAAUAGCUAUUGCCACCCACAUACUCAUAAGAAUGCAGAAGUGUUACAGGGGAUUAAUGGCAUUUUAGGAUUAAGGACAUGAUGGUAGUUUAAAAGCUUUUAGCGCCUCCUAAAUUAGGAGAUCUACCUGACAUUGCUAAGCCUCUCAGAUUUCGCUGUGGCAAUAGUUCUGUUUCUCCUUAGGCUCACACUAGCUACUGUUUGGAAAAUUUGGGCACAAUUGUCUUGGGUGUUAAGUCCUUGUCCUUUGGACCCCACCUCUUUCCCUUAUAGGACUUUGUGAUAAGAGAGCUUAGUAAUGUGGCACUUGAUGAACUUACAAG